UGUAGGAGCUGCCGAAGGCUGCGAUCUUUUGAUCUGGCUUUAUACAGCACAGUCAAAAGAUCGCAGCCUUCGGCAGCUCCUACA
rnacentral:misc_RNA from 1 species